rnacentral:lncRNA from 1 species
CCUUUAUUCAUCCACUUCCUGAUCCUCCCCUCCGUCAGUCAUUAAACAAUAAAUCUCGUCUGUGCCUUCCCCUUGUACCUCAAGCUGCUGACUAGACAGUUUUAUUGACGUUCUGAAGUUCGAUCAUGGCUGCGGCGGCUGUGGAGGCUCUGUCCUUCAGCCUGCUCCCAGAGCGCUGCACAGCUGUGGGUGUCGAUCGUGACAGGUCACAUAAUUAGAGCAGCGCUGUGUCUGUCUGAGACUGUGGCAGGGAGCCGCUGGACACAUGAGGCUCAGCCAGGCCUCUGGACCCGUGGAGGCAGCCAUGCAUGCAAGUGUGUGCGUUCAUGCUCCAGAACGUUCCUCCCGUUUGUGCCAAAUGGAAGCGGGUCCAAGGAGUGAUAAGUGAAGUGACAGCUGAUUAAAGUCAGCAGCGCCUGUCGCUGCAAUAAUGAAAAUAAAAG